rnacentral:tRNA from 1 species
CACUGCGUCCGGGUCGGUUCCCGAUCUCCCGGGCUCCGGCCGUUCGCUGUGUGAUGAUCAUAGCGCAGGUGCGGGGUGCUUCCGCAACUCAGUGG